GACAGAGGGGGCAAGCGUUGCUCGGAAUUACUGGGCGUAAAGGGCGCGUAGGCGGAAUGGCAAGUCGGUCGUGAAAUCCUUCGGCUCAACCGAAGAACGUCGAUCGAAACUGCCGUUCUUGAGGAUUGCAGAGGAGACUGGAAUUCCCGGUGUAGCGGUGAAAUGUGUAGAGAUCGGGAGGAACACCGGUGGCGAAGGCGGGUCUCUGGGCAAUUCCUGACGCUGAGGAGCGAAAGUGUGGGGAGCGAACAGG
rnacentral:rRNA from 1 species